AACGCACAUUGCGCCCCUUGGUAUUCCGAGGGGCAUGCCUGUUCGAGCGUCAUUACACCACUCAAGCACUGCUUGGUAUUGGGCGUCCGUCUCCCGCGAGGGGGGCGCGCCUCAAAGACCUCGGCGGAGCCUCACCGGCUUUGGGCGUAGUAGAAUUUAUUCGAACGUCUUUAAACGGAGAGGACUCCUCAGCCGACCGAAACCUUUUAUAUUUUUCUAGGUUGACCUCGGAUCAGGUAGGGAUACCCGCUGAACUUAA
rnacentral:misc_RNA from 1 species